rfam:Rattus norvegicus chromosome 15, whole genome shotgun sequence.
GGGGAUUUAGCUCAGUGGUAGAGUGCUUGCCUAGGAAGCGCAAGGUCCUGGGUUCGGUCCCCAGCUCCA